rnacentral:rRNA from 1 species
GAGGUGUAAGUAUGGUAACAUAUUUAGCUGACUGAUACUAAUAGGUCGAGGGCUUGACCAA